rnacentral:rRNA from 1 species
GUGGCUCGAGGACGACGCUGGCGGCGUGCCUAAACACAUGCAAGUCGAGCGGAGCCAACCGAACAUCCGUUCGGGGAGCGUUUGGGAAGCUUAGCGGCGGACGGGUGAGUAACGCGUGAGUAACCUGCCCAUUAGUGGGGAAUAACACAGAGAAAUUUGUGCUAAUACCGCAUACGGAAUAACCAAGGCAUCUUGGAAGUUUAAAAGAUUUAUCGCUAAUGGAUGGACCCGCGUCUGAUUAGCUAGUUGGUGGGGUAACGGCUCACCAAGGCAACGAUCAGUAGCCGACCUGAGAGGGUGACCGGCCACAUUGGGACUGAGACACGGCCCAAACUCCUACGGGAGGCAGCAGUGGGGAAUAUUGCACAAUGGGCGAAAGCCUGAUGCAGCGACGCCGCGUGAGCGAAGAAGUAUUUCGGUAUGUAAAGCUCUAUCAGCAGGGAAGAUAAUGACGGUACCUGACUAAGAAGCACCGGCUAAAUACGUG